CUGUGCAGCCGGGGAGCUAGCGGUUCCCUGUACCUACAUCGCUAUAGUAGGGGUGAUAUCCUGCCCCGGGUUGUGAGGUGUGUAGCUGCCCUUAAUAAGUGGUAUUGACGUUUGGGUCUUACGCGACGGGAACCGGCGAACCGUGUCAGGUUGGGAACAAAGCAGCACUAAGUCGGACCUCUCGGGUGCCGUGAGGGUGCCUGGACCGAGCUAACUGUUAAGGUAACGUGCGGGCUAAGCAAUUCAAAGCAGGAUGCACAG
rnacentral:SRP_RNA from 1 species